rnacentral:rRNA from 1 species
AUUGAACGCUGGCGGCAUGCCUUACACAUGCAAGUCGAACGGCAGCACGGGAGCAAUCCUGGUGGCGAGUGGCGAACGGGUGAGUAAUAUAUCGGAACGUGCCCAGUCGUGGGGAUAACGUAGCGAAAGCUACGCUAAUACCGCAUACGAUCUAUGGAUGAAAGCGGGGGAUCGCAAGACCUCGCGCGAUUGGAGCGGCCGAUAUCAGAUUAGGUAGUUGGUGAGGUAAAGGCUCACCAAGCCGACGAUCUGUAGCUGGUCUGAGAGGACGACCAGCCACACUGGGACUGAGACACGGCCCAGACUCCUACCGGGAGGCAGCAGUGGGGGAAUUUUUGGGACAAUGGGCGCAAGCCUGAUCCAGCAAUGCCGCGUGCAGGAUGAAGGCCUU